CUCGAUCCAUCUGGUUAGUGGAAGCGGAUUGCCGAGCAUCAAGUCUGCGAGGUCUAGGGCAAGCCGCCAAUCGAGUAUCCCGUGGCUGAACCGGUUGCCAUAGUUGCGGAGACAAUCUGGGCAAGAUCGGUCGCAAUCAUGU
rnacentral:sRNA from 1 species